CUUGUGUAGGAUAGGUGGGAGACCGUGAAGCCGCCACGCCAGUGGUGGUGGAGUCGYCGUUGAAAUACCACUCUGGUCGUACUGCACAUCUAACCUCGGUCCGUGAUCCGGACCAGGGACAGUGCCUGGUGGGUAGUUUAACUGGGCGGUUGCCUCCCAAAAUGUAACGGAGGCGCUCAAAGGUUCCCUCAGCCUGGUUGGCAAUCAGGUGUCGAGUGCAAGUGCACAAGGGAGCUUGACUGUGAGACUGACAGGUCGAGCAGGGACGAAAGUCGGAACUAGUGAUCCGGCGGUGGCUUGUGGAAGCGCCGUCGCUCAACGGAUAAAAGGUACCCCGGGGAUAACAGGCUGAUCUUGCCCAAGAGUCCAUAUCGACGGCAUGGUUUGGCACCUCGAUGUCGGCUCGUCGCAUCCUGGGGCUGGAGUAGGUCCCAAGGGUUGGGCUGUUCGCCCAUUAAAGCGGUACGCGAGCUGGGUUUAGAACGUCGUGAGA
rnacentral:ncRNA from 1 species